rnacentral:snRNA from 1 species
GUUCAUUCCUGAACAUAUACUAAAAUUGGAGCAAUAAAGAGAAGAUUAGUAUGGCCCCUACGCAAGGUUGACACGCUAACUACUCAUCAUUCCCCUAGAGUG